AUUCCAGGAAAUAAUCUCAAACAUAAAUUGAUUUCUAAAUGAGAUGUGAAGUAUGCACCUCGUUUUAGAGAUGUCUGCAUUUCCUGUAUAUUCUCUGAGUAGCUUACUGAGAUUCAUUUAUAUUCCCCAGUACCAGGAAACUCUGCUGGCAAUAAACUGGAUUUAGGAAAUCAGAUUUUUUUUGCUGACCAGAUCUGCUUUUCUGUAUAUGUGAGUGUGGG